rnacentral:misc_RNA from 1 species
GGAAGGAUCAUUCGUAUGAAAAUCCAAAUCUGUGUGAAAUAUAAAACCAAAUUACUCAUAUUACUUAUUUAAACUCAACAGUUUAUUAAAAAUUCAACCCAUUUCUUAACGAAGGAUGUCUUGGAUCCCAUGUCGAUGAAGAUUGUAGCAAACUGCGUUAAUCAAAGUGAAAUGUAGAUUUCAGCGAACCUUCAGAACGUUGAAUGUAAUUUCCGCUAUGCUCUGCAUAGCAAGUCUGUUUCAGAAUAGCCAAAUCUUCCUACUACUCCAGUCUUAAUUGAUUGAUGUUAGUUUGGAUUUUGACAGUAUUGGUUGUUUUUUUUCCUCGGAAAAAUAUAUGCAGCUUCUACUGAUAAGGAUGAAUUUAUAGCUACACGCAUAGCAAUGUUAUGGUGUUGUGGUUAAACUAAACAAAUUCACACUUUAACUAUUUAUCUGAAAUCAGUUCUUGACUACCCACUGACCUUAAGCAUAUUAUUAAGUGGUGGAAAAGAAACUUACAAGUAUUCUCUUUUUAAUGGCGAAUGAUCAGGGAAGAGUUCGAAUUGAAAAUCAGGCGCUUGCGUCUGAGUUGUACUUAUUUGAAGCAAAACCAAGUGUAAAUGUCAGUUCAAGUCCUCUGGAACGGGGUGCCUUCGUGGGUGAUAGUCCUGCAGUGGCUGACAAUUUUGCAUAUACGGUUUGUUUUCAGCGAGUCGUGUUCCUUGGGAUUGGAGCGCUAAUUAGGCGGUAAGCUUCGUCUAAAACUAAAUACUAAUGGGAUACCGAUAGCAAACAAGUACCUUGAGGGAAAGAUGAGAAGACCUUUGAAAAGAGGAUUGAUCGUGCCUGAAAUCGUUAAGAAGAAACGGUAUGGACGAGCUUCAUCAAGUGGACGUCCCAUUGAACGUGGGCCUGGUAGUCAGAAAUGGCGAAGGGCAAGCAAAGUAAAUGGAGGCUUAUACUUGAGAGGGGAGUGAUCGUUGCUGGCGGGCUGAAAGGCGAGUGAGCAAGCAUCUAGGUGUUUGGUUACCGUCCGUACCCCUGCUGUCAACGAGCGAUACAUGGGCUUGCAAGCUUGCGUUCCAUGUUAUUAACUUCCGUAUGCUUUUCUACACCACCCGUCUUGAAACACGGACCAAGGAGUCUAGCAGAUGUGUAAGUCAUACAGUUUUAAUCUGUAAUGCUUAAUGAAAGUGAAUUUCACAACGAACGACCGGUCGCCAUGAUGGAUGAUUGAGUGAGAACUCAUCUGCUAGGACCCGAAAGAUGGUGAACUAUGCCUGAGCAAAACGAAGUCAGAGGAAACUCUGAUGGAAGUUUGUAGCAAUACUGACGUGCAAAUCGUUUGUCAUACUUGGGUAUAGGGGCGAAAGACUAAUCGAACCAUUUAGUAGCUGGUUUCCUC